UUUAGGUGCAGCCUCGAGGUGAGUUUACUAGAGGUAGAGCGACUGGUUGGAUGCGGGGGCUUCAUCGCCUACCAAAUCCUGUCAAACUCCGAAUGCUAGUAAAUAUACUCGGGAGUGAGGGCAUGGGUGCUAAGGUCCAUGUCCGAGAGGGAAACAACCCAGACUAUCUGCUAAGGCCCCCAAAUGUAUACUAAGUUGAUCAAACGUGGUCUGAUUGCACUGACAGCUAGGAUGUUGGCUUGGAAGCAGCCAUUCAUUUAAAGAGUGCGUAACAGCUCACUAGUCGAGCGAUCGGGCGUGGAUAAUAAUCGGGCAUUAAGUAUACUGCCGAAGCAAUAGCAUCGAAAGAUGGGUAGGGGAGCAUUCUAGUUGCGUAGAAGCAGUGCUGUAAGGCAUUGUGGAGCGUCUAGAAAAGAAAAUGUAGGAAUA
rnacentral:rRNA from 1 species